UACGAAGGGUGCAAGCGUUACUCGGAAUUACUGGGCGUAAAGCGUGCGUAGGUGGUUUGUUAAGUCUGAUGUGAAAGCCCUGGGCUCAACCUGGGAAUUGCAUUGGAUACUGGCAGGCUAGAGUGCGGUAGAGGAUGGCGGAAUUCCCGGUGUAGCAGUGAAAUGCGCAGAUAUCAGGAAGAACACCCGUGGCGAAGGCGGCUCUCUGGGACGGUACUGACGCUGAGACGCGAAAGCGUGGGGAGCGAACAGG
rnacentral:rRNA from 1 species